rnacentral:tRNA from 1 species
GGUGGGAUGGCUGAGUGGUUGAAGGCGCUCGAUUCGAAAUCGAGUGAGGGAUAAAACCCUUCGAGGGUUCGAAUCCCUCUCCCACCG